GGGGGCGUAAAGGUUUCGACGUGGGUUUGGAACUUGAGGCUGCAUGUCGUGUUACUCUGGGUCACGUAAAAACUGGGGAACUUUAAAAUAAACGCAGACGAUAAUUUCGCGAUAGCAGCCUAGUUGCUGCUCGUCCCUCUUAGUCCUCCUGCCGACUAAGACUGGACGUCAUUAUGCAGGGAA
rnacentral:tmRNA from 1 species